rnacentral:rRNA from 1 species
UACGGAGGGAGCUAGCGUUGUCCGGAAUCAUUGGGCGUAAAGCGCGCGUAGGCGGCCCGGUAAGUCCGCUGUGAAAGUCAAAGGCUCAACCUUUGAAUGUCAGCGGAUACUGCCGGGCUAGAGUCCGGAAGAGGCGAGUGGAACUCCUGGUGUAGCGGUGGAAUGCGCAGAUAUCAGGAAGAACACCAACGGCGAAGGCAGCUCGCUGGGACGGAACUGACGCUAAGGCGCGAAAGCGUGGGGAGCGAACAGG